CCUACGGGGGGCAGCAGUGGGGAAUAUUGCACAAUGGGCGCAAGCCUGAUGCAGCCAUGCCGCGUGUGUGAAGAAGGCCUUCGGGUUGUAGAGCACUUUCAGCGGGGAGGAAGGCGGUGAGGUUAAUAACCUCAUCGAUUGACGCUACCCGCAGAAGAAGCACCGGCUAACUCCGGGCCAGCAGCCGCGGUAAUACGGAGGGUGCAAGCGUUAAUCGGAAUUACUGGGCGUAAAGCGCACGCAGGCGGUCUGGCAAGUCGGAUGUGAAAUCCCCGGGCUCAACCUGGGAACUGCAUUCGAAACUGGCAGGCUAGAGUCUUGUAGAGGGGGGUAGAAUUCCAGGUGUAGCGGUGAAAUGCGUAGAGAUCUGGAGGAAUACCGGUGGCGAAGGCGGCCCCCUGGACAAAGACUGACGCUCAGGUGCGAAAGCGUGGGGAGCAAACAGGAUUAGAUACCCUUGUAGUC
rnacentral:rRNA from 1 species